CUAACCCAAGCCACUAGAUCCCCUACUAGAGAAGAAGACCAGUCGCUGGAAAAAAGCCGACCGCCGCCGCUGCUGCGCCGGAGCCACUUCCGACCUCCAAAAGAGGUAAAAAAAUUUCAUUUACUCAAAAUUCAAUUUUAAACAUUCCCAUGGGCCAAAUUAGAGCAAAAGACCUAUGGAUUAGCUGAAAACCAUGAGCAAAGCUCAGCGGC
rnacentral:lncRNA from 1 species